rnacentral:rRNA from 1 species
AUUGAACGCUGGCGGCAUGCUUUACACAUGCAAGUCGAACGGCAGCGCGGGCUUCGGCCUGGCGGCGAGUGGCGAACGGGUGAGUAAUGCAUCGGAACGUGCCCAGUAGUGGGGGAUAGCCCGGCGAAAGCCGGAUUAAUACCGCAUACGACCUGAGGGUGAAAGCGGGGGACCGAAAGGCCUCGCGCUAUUGGAGCGGCCGAUGUCGGAUUAGCUAGUUGGUGGGGUAAAGGCUUACCAAGGCGACGAUCCGUAGCUGGUCUGAGAGGACGACCAGCCACACUGGGACUGAGACACGGCCCAGACUCCUACGGGAGGCAGCAGUGGGGAAUUUUGGACAAAGGGGGCAACCCUGAUCCAGCCAUGCCGCGUGCGGGAAGAAGGCCUUCGGGUCGUAAACCGCUUUUGUUCGGGAAGAAAUCCUCUGGGCUAAUACCCCGGGGGGAUGACGGUACCGGAAGAAUAAGCACCGGCUAACUACGCG